UUUACACAAUGACACAUUCCCGAUCCGACUCCUACCAAACAAGCGAUUGCGCCUGCUUUAGAAAGUUAACUUGUCGUAAAUUUGCGGUAAAAUGCAGUUGGGUUGUCGAGGUCAAAAGACU